AUUGAACGCUGGCGGCAGGCUUAACACAUGCAAGUCGAGCGAGCGGCGGACGGGUGAGUAAUGUCUGGAACAGUGCCUGAUGGGGGGGGAUCACUAGUGGAAACGGUAGCUAAUACCGCAUCCCAUCAGCUGCGCCCAGAUGGGAUUAGCUAGUAGGUGGGGUAAUGGCGCACCUAGGCGACGAUCCCUAGCUGGUCUGAGAGGAUGACCAGCCACACUGGAACUGAGACACGGUCCAGACUCCUACGGGAGGCAGCAGUGGGGAAUAUUGCACAAGGGGCGCAAGCCUGAUGCAGCCAUGCCGCGUGUGUGAAGAAGGCCUUCGGGUUGUAAAGCACUUUCAGCGAGGAGGCGUUACUCGCAGAAGAAGCACCGGCUAACUCCGUGCCAGCAGCCGCGGUAAUUC
rnacentral:rRNA from 1 species